rnacentral:rRNA from 1 species
AGAGUUUGAUCCUGGCUCAGAUUGAACGCUGGCGGCAUGCCUUACACAUGCAAGUCGAACGGUAACAGGGAGCUUGCUCCGCUGACGAGUGGCGAACGGGUGAGUAAUAUAUCGGAACGUACCAUUCAGUGGGGGAUAACGUAGCGAAAGUUACGCUAAUACCGCAUAUUCUGUGAGCAGGAAAGCAGGGGAUCGCAAGACCUUGCGCUGAUUGAGCGGCCGAUAUCAGAUUAGCUUGUUGGUGAGGUAAAAGCUCACCAAGGCGACGAUCUGUAGCGGGUCUGAGAGGAUGAUCCGCCACACUGGAACUGAGACACGGUCCAGACUCCUACGGGAGGCAGCAGUGGGGAAUUUUGGACAAUGGGGGCAACCCUGAUCCAGCCAUGCCGCGUGAGUGAAGAAGGCCUUCGGGUUGUAAAGCUCUUUCAGCCGGGAAGAAAACGCAUGGGUUAAUACCCUGUGUGGAUGACGGUACCGGAAUAAGAAGCACCGGCUAACUACGUGCCAGCAGCCGCGGUAAUACGUAGGGUGCGAGCGUUAAUCGGAAUUACUGGGCGUAAAGCGUGCGCAGGCGGUUUUGUAAGACAGGCGUGAAAUCCCCGGGCUUAACCUGGGAACUGCGUUUGUGACUGCAAGGCUAGAGUACGGCAGAGGGGGGUGGAAUUCCACGUGUAGCAGUGAAAUGCGUAGAGAUGUGGAGGAACACCAAUGGCGAAGGCAGCCCCCUGGGUCGAUACUGACGCUCAUGCACGAAAGCGUGGGUAGCAAACAGGAUUAGAUACCCUGGUAGUCCACGCCCUAAACGAUGUCAACUAGGUGUUGGGAGGGUAAAACCUUUUAGUACCGGAGCUAACGCGUGAAGUUGACCGCCUGGGGAGUACGGCCGCAAGGUUAAAACUCAAAGGAAUUGACGGGGACCCGCACAAGCGGUGGAUGAUGUGGAUUAAUUCGAUGCAACGCGAAAAACCUUACCUACCCUUGACAUGCCAAGAACUUUCCAGAGAUGGAUUGGUGCCCGAAAGGGAACUUGGACACAGGUGCUGCAUGGCUGUCGUCAGCUCGUGUCGUGAGAUGUUGGGUUAAGUCCCGCAACGAGCGCAACCCUUGUCGUUAAUUGCCAUCAUUUAGUUGGGCACUUUAACGAGACUGCCGGUGACAAACCGGAGGAAGGUGGGGAUGACGUCAAGUCCUCAUGGCCCUUAUGGGUAGGGCUUCACACGUC